CACAGAGGAAGUGAGAAUCAAUCGCUCCCAGGAAGGCAAGAUUCCAGAAUACGAGUGUGUCUAAAGAAAAGACCAUCUCUCAACAUCUGAACCAAAAAGCUGCAUUUACUACAGUACUUACUUAAGGGAGGUGGAGCUGGGCCUGUUAGGUGCAAUCCCUACACCAGCUGAGCCGGGAGAUCUGAACAUCAGGCAAUGAGUUUGCAAGAUGGUUUAACAACUAUGAACAUGUGGUGUCCUCACAGGAAUCCUGUGGGCUGAACAGCAGCCGCCCCUCCUUCCACCCAGCACAAAACUUGGUUUGCCCCGCUCACUCUAAAUCUGGGCCUUCAAUGAAUGUUCAGUGGAGUUCUUCUGUGGAAAAAAAUAAAUGGGAAAGGAAGGCUGGAGAGGCCUUUAUUAGCCUAAGGGGCAGUGGAGGGUAAAAGGGCUGUGACUCUUGGUUGGCUUCUUCUUUUUCUUUAUUGUUUUUUGUUUUGUUUUGUUUUGUUUUUUCUGGUAGCUUCUUUAUCUCAGUGUUUUUUCUUUUUCUUUUCUUUUUUUUUUGAGACAGGGUCUCACUCUGUCACCCAAACUGGAGUGCAGCAGUGCAAUCAUAACUUAGCGGGGCUCAAGCAAUCCUCCCACCUCAGCCUCCCUAGUGGCUGGGACUACAGGUGUGCACCACCACACCCGGCUAAUUUUUGUAUCUUAUUGUAGACACAGGUUUUCGCCACGUUGCCCAGGCUGGUCUCAAACUCCUGGGCUCAACUGAUCCCCUUGCCAGGGCUUCUCAAAGUGCUGGGAUCAUAGGCAUGAGCCGCCAUGCCUAACCCUUAUCUGAGUUUUUGUAACAGUUUGACCAACAAGCUUGUUGUUGGAAAGCUGUAAGAGUCCUGGAAAUUUCCCUGGGGCCUGAGGAAUCAAACACUGCUCUACAAGGGGAGGCUUUCUGUCCUGAGAGUUCAGGCUUUAGGGGCUGGCUGGAGGCCUCAGGCAGAGAUGAAGGCCCAGUUAUGAUUUCCUUCACUGGAGUCCAUCAUUAAUGAGCGCCUUGGCUGGGGGGAUGCCUGCUAAGAGGGCAUGGAGUACAGAUCCUCCACUGACACCCCCACACUCCUAGCAGCAAGCAGGACUUAGUGGCCCCACUUACUCCCUACAGGGUAGGAAAAGACGGCAGUGCCCUGGUGAGGAGCUGUAUAGGGGGUCCUUCAGGAUGCUUGCUGGGAGGGGUGGGGAGGGCACAGGACGUGCUGGGACCCCACUGGGAUCUAAGCCCCUCCCAGCUGAUUUAUUCUUAGGAUCUGUAAUGCUCGCCUGCAUGUGCCCCGAACUUCAGAAGGCCCAAGAAUCAACCCUGACAAAUGUCUUUUUGUCCUGUAUUCAGUAGAGAUAAGAUUAAAAAAAAAAAUUAGUAGAGGGCAAAAAACAGUGGUUUACUCUCUUUACUGGCAUUCAAGAAACUUCUUCGGUUUGAUAGGCUUUAAGCUUCUUCCCAGAUUCAAAAUGCUGUGAUUGGCACUAAAUGGAUCCCUAUCUCUGCCCAGGAAUUCCGGCUUCUGGCUGCAAAGCCUUUGGGGUCCUUGCAAUGGGGCAGGUAUAACUUCCCAUAUUCUCUUCCUCAAUCUUCCUUUCCUGCCCCUCCCUCUCUAUUUUUUUUUUUUUUUUUUUUUUUUUGAGACAAGGUCUCACACCGUAACCCAGGCUGAAGAGCAGUGGUGCAAUCAUGGCUCACUGCAGACUCAACCUCCUAGGCUCAAGCAAUCCUCCCACCUCAGCCUCCCGAGUAGCUGGGACCACAGGCACAUGCCACUACGUCCAGCUCAUUUUUGUAUUUGUUGCAGUGAUGGGGAUUUGCCAUGUUGCCCAGGCUGGCCUUGAACUUCUGGGCUCAAGCCAUCCUCUCACUUCAGCCUCUCAAAGUGCUGGGAUUGUAGGCUUGAGCCACUGUGCCCUGCCUGCCUUUCUGUUCUGAUGCAGGAAGCCCUGACUUUGGAGUCCUUCCCUGUGGAUCACCUCUGAUAAAUCUAGUCUCUUGUUCAUCUGCUCUUUUAUUUAUUAAAAAAACUUUUUAAAAAGACUAGUAAAGUGCAGUAGUGAGAAGGUGGGAAAGGGUAGAACAAGGAGCUCGAUCUGUAACUGACUGUGAACAAUCAGUUGAGAUAACUCACUACCUUUGGACCAGCCUCAUCUGCCCUUUUGAAUGGUUCCUCUCAGUUUUUUCAUCUGUAAAAUGUGAAUCGUGCGUGGCAGGAGGUGAGUGGGGAUUUGUAGUGGAGAAUUCUCAAGGUCUCUCCCAGCUCUGACACUUGGGGACUCAGGGAGUCUACCAAGGGCAAAGGCAUCAUCCUAAGUGCAGGUUCGUGUGUGGGGGUGUAUGAAACAGUUAAGAUGAAGUGCCCAUCCUCAAGGAGUUUGCAGUUGAGUAGCUCAGUGGCAUGCAUAAUAAAUCUCAGGUAGGCCCGGUGUGGUGGCUCAUGCCUGAAAUCCCAGCACUUUGGGAGGCUGAGGUGGGUGGAUCACGAGGUCAGGAGUUUGAGACCGGCCUGACCAACAUGGUGAAACCCUGUUGCUACUAAAAAUACAGAAAUUAGCUGGGCGUGGUGUGGGCGCCUGUAAUCCCAGCUACUUGGGAGGCAGAGGCAGAAUGGUUUGAACCCAGGAGGCAGAGGUUGCAGUGAGCCGAGAUCACGCCACUGCACUCCAGCCUGGGUGACAGGGCGAGACUCCAUCUCAAAAUAAAUAAAUAAAUAAAUAAAUAAAUAAAUAAAUAAAUAAAUAAAUAAAUCUCAGGUAGAUAUUCAGGAAGUGAGGCAUUUCAGAGUUCAUCAGAAUUCCAAGGAGGUAUAAGAUUCCUUCUGGAGGCAGAGGGGUUUGGUGAAGGGAAUAAAGUAGGGUUCCCAAGUUCCUUUCCAAGGCCAGUGGUGCAGAUGCUUUUGGCUUCCCAACCAAAGAAUCCCAGUUAUUGCCCAACUCUGACCCCGGCAGGCAAGUCUUCCCCUACCAGGCAACCACACUCACACUUUCUGAAUUGGUGCCUCAUUAAUUCUUUUUUUGCCUUCUUAAUCACACUGCUAAUAAUACUUAUUUUUAUUUUUAUUUUUAUUUUGAGACUGAGUCUCACUGUUGUCGGCCCCGGCUGGAGGGCAAUGGCGCAAUCUUGGCUCACUGCAACCUCUGCCUCCCAGGUUCCAGCGAUUCUCCUGCCUCAGCCUCGCAAGUAGCUGGGAUUACAGGCGCCUGCC
rnacentral:lncRNA from 1 species